rnacentral:tRNA from 1 species
GCCGACGUAGCUCAGUUGGUAGAGCAGUAGUUUUGUAAACUAUUGGUCGUGGGUUCGAGUCCCUCCGUCGGCUCCA